rnacentral:rRNA from 1 species
UACGGAGGGGGCUAGCGUUGUUCGGAAUUACUGGGCGUAAAGCGCGCGUAGGCGGACCUGCAAGUCGGGGGUGAAAGCCCGAGGCUCAACCUCGGAACUGCCUUCGAUACUGCGGGUCUCGAGUCCGGGAGAGGUGAGUGGAAUUCCUAGUGUAGAGGUGAAAUUCGUAGAUAUUAGGAAGAACACCAGUGGCGAAGGCGGCUCACUGGCCCUGUACUGACGCUGAGGCGCGAAAGCGUGGGGAGCAAACAGG